UCUGGUGUCAGCCGCCGCGGUAAUACCAGCUCUCCGAGCGGUAGGGAUGAUUAUUGGGCUUAAAGCGUCCGUAGCCGGCUUAGCAAGUCUCCUGUUAAAUUCAGCGACCUAAUCGUUGAGCCGCGGGAGAUACUACUAGGCUAGGAGGCGGGAGAGGCCGACGGUAUUCUCGGGGUAGGGGUGAAAUCCUAUAAUCCCGGGAGGACCACCAGUGGCGAAGGCUGUCGGCUAGAACGCGCUCGACGGUGAGGGACGAAAGCUGGGGGAGCGAACCGGAUUAGAUACCCGGGUAGUCCCAGCUGUAAACGAUGCGGGCUAGGUGUUGGCGCGGCUACGUGCCGCUCCAGUGCCGCAAGGAAGCCAUUAA
rnacentral:rRNA from 1 species